rnacentral:rRNA from 1 species
CAUGCAAGUCGAACGGAAAGGCCCUUCGGGGUGCUCGAGUGGCGAACGGGUGAGUAACACGUGGGUGAUCUGCCCUGCACUUUGGGAUAAGCCUGGGAAACUGGGUCUAAUACCGAAUAGGACUCCGGACUGCAUGGUCUGGGGUGGAAAGCUUUUGCGGUGUGGGAUGGGCCCGCGGCCUAUCAGCUUGUUGGUGGGGUGAUGGCCUACCAAGGCGACGACGGGUAGCCGGCCUGAGAGGGUGACAGGCCACACUGGGACUGAGAUACGGCCCAGACUCCUACGGGAGGCAGCAGUGGGGAAUAUUGCACAAUGGGCGCAAGCCUGAUGCAGCGACGCCGCGUGGGGGAUGACGGCCUUCGGGUUGUAAACCUCUUUCAGCACAGACGAAGCGCAAGUGACGGUAUGUGCAGAAGAAGCACCGGCCAACUACGUGCCAGCAGCCGCGGUAAUACGUAGGGUGCGAGCGUUGUCCGGAAUUACUGGGCGUAAAGAGCUCGUAGGUGGUUUGUCGCGUUGUUCGUGAAAACUCACA